GACGGAGGGUGCAAGCGUUGUUCGGAAUUACUGGGCGUAAAGCGUGCGCAGGCGGCGGCCCAAGUCAGGUGUGAAAUCCCCGGGCUUAACCUGGGAAUUGCGCUUGAAACUAGGUCGCUAGAGUGUGGCAGAGGGGGGUGGAAUUCCACGUGUAGCAGUGAAAUGCGUAGAGAUGUGGAGGAACACCGAUGGCGAAGGCAGCCCCCUGGGUCAACACUGACGCUCAUGCACGAAAGCGUGGGGAGCAAACAGG
rnacentral:rRNA from 1 species